rnacentral:misc_RNA from 1 species
GAUGAAGAACGUAGCGAAAUGCGAUACUAGGUGUGAAUUGCAGAAUCCCGUGAACCAUCGAGUCUUUGAACGCAAGUUGCGCCCGAAGCCAUUAGGCCGAGGGCACGCCUGCCUGGGCGUCACACGUCGUUGCCCCCCCAUCUACUCCUUCGGGAUUGCGGGGGGCGGAUGAUGGCCUCCCGUGCGCCUCGUCGCGCGGUUGGCAUAAAUGCCAAGUCCUCGGCGACGCACGCCACGACAAUCGGUGGUUGCGAAACCUCGGUUGCCCGUCGUGUGCGGUCGUCGCGCAUCGAGGGCUCGAAAAAAUUGCCGGGCUCCGGCUCGGCUUUCAACGCGACCCCAGGUCAGGCGGGGUUACCCGCUGAAUUUAAGCAUAUCAAUAAGCGGAGGA